rnacentral:lncRNA from 1 species
GGAGGACCUAAUAAAUCAUGGCAUUUGAAGAACAUCCUGAGUUCAAAAGUUUUCUUUAUUCUGACAUAUGGAAAACAGCUUUCAACUACUAGUGAAUAAUCGAUUUUUCAUUAGAAUUUUAUUAACAUAUCUCUUGCAGUUAUGGAUUGAAUUGUAUCCUCUCCAAAUUCAUAUGUGGAAGCGCUAACUCCCAGUGUAACUAUAUUUGGGAUGGUGACUUCAAGGAGGUGAUGAAGGUUAAAU